GACGAACGCUGGCGGUGUGCUUAACACAUGCAAGUCGAACGGAAAGGCCUCUUUCGGGGGGUAUUCGAGUGGCGAACGGGUGAGUAACACGUGAGUAACCUGCCCUUGACUUUGGGAUAACUUCAGGAAACUGGGGCCAAUACCGGAUAGGAGCUCCUGCUGCAGGGUGGGGGUUGGAAAGUUUCGGCGGUUGGGGAUUGGCUCGCGGCGUAUCCGCUUGAUGGUGGGGUAGUGGCUUACCAAGGCCUUGACGGGUAGCCGGCCAGGGAGGGUGACCGGCCACAUUGGGACUGAGAUACGGCCCAGAUUCCUACGGGGGGCAGCAGUGGGGAAGAUUGCACAAUGCGUAGAAGCCGGAUGCAGCAACGCCGUGUGCGGGAUGACGGCCUUCGGGUUGUAGAACGCUUUCGCUCAUAACGAAGCUUUGUGUGACGGUAGUGGAUAAAGAAGCACCGGCUAACUACGUG
rnacentral:rRNA from 1 species